CCAAACUGUUGCUUCGGGGGGGCCACGCCCGGGUGCGUCGCAGCCCGGGAACCAGGCGCCCGCCGGAGGGACCAACCAAACUCUUUCUGUAGUCCCCUCGCGGACGUUAUUUCUUACAGCUCUGAGCAAAAAUUCAAAAUGAAUCAAAACUUUCAACAACGGAUCUCUUGGUUCUGGCAUCGAUGAAGAACGCAGCGAAAUGCGAUAAGUAAUGUGAAUUGCAGAAUUCAGUGAAUCAUCGAAUCUUUGAACGCACAUUGCGCCCGCCAGUAUUCUGGCGGGCAUGCCUGUCCGAGCGUCAUUUCAACCCUCGAACCCCUCCGGGGGGUCGGCGUUGGGGAUCGGGAACCCCUAAGACGGGAUCCCGGCCCCGAAAUACAGUGGCGGUCUCGCCGCAGCCUCUCCUGCGCAGUAGUUUGCACAACUCGCACCGGGAGCGCGGCGCGUCCACGUCCGUAAAACACCCAA
rnacentral:rRNA from 1 species